rnacentral:lncRNA from 1 species
UGUCAUUACCCACGGUUUGUGGAAUAAAAGAGAAUUGUUUCUGCUUAAAGUAAUCUCAGAUUUGUUCCUGUCAUUGACUCUUACACAGGAAGCCUCUGGUGGAACUGAUGACCAAAUGACAAGGGUCCGUUCCAACCUGGAAAUAUCAAAGGAUGACACUGAAGCCUCUGGUGGAACUGAUGACCAAAUGACAAGGGUCCGUUCCAACCUGGAAAUAUCAAAGGAUGACACUGAAGCCUCUGGUGGAACUGAUGACCAAAUGACAAGGGUCCGUUCCAACCUGGAAAUAUCAAAGGAUGACACUGAAGCCUCUGGUGGAACUGAUGACCAAAUGACAAGGGUCCGUUCCAACCUGGAAAUAUCAAAGGAUGACACUGAAGCCUCUGGUGGAACUGAUGACCAAAUGACAAGGGUCCGUUCCAACCUGGAAAUAUCAAAGGAUGACACUGAAGCCUCUGGUGGAACUGAUGACCAAAUGACAAGGGUCCGUUCCAACCUGGAAAUAUCAAAGGAUGACACUGAAGCCUCUGGUGGAACUGAUGACCAAAUGACAAGGGUCCGUUCCAACCUGGAAAUAUCAAAGGAUGACACUGAAGCCUCUGGUGGAACUGAUGACCAAAUGACAAGGGUCCGUUCCAACCUGGAAAUAUCAAAGGAUGACACUGAAGCCUCUGGUGGAACUGAUGACCAAAUGACAAGGGUCCGUUCCAAUCUGGAAAUAUCAAAGGAUGACACUGAAGCCUCUGGUGGAACUGAUGACCAAAUGACAAGGGUCCGUUCCAACCUGGAAAUAUCAAAGGAUGACACUGAAGCCUCUGGUGGAACUGAUGACCAAAUGACAAGGGUCCGUUCCAAUCUGGAAAUAUCAAAGGAUGACACUGAAGCCUCUGGUGGAACUGAUGACCAAAUGACAAGGGUCCGUUCCAACCUGGAAAUAUCAAAGGAUGACACUGAAGCCUCUGGUGGAACUGAUGACCAAAUGACAAGGGUCCGUUCCAACCUGGAAAUAUCAAAGGAUGACACUGAAGCCUCUGGUGGAACUGAUGACCAAAUGACAAGGGUCCGUUCCAAUCUGGAAAUAUCAAAGGAUGACACUGUAAGUUGUAUACUAUAUACUUGUGAUGUCAUGCUUGUACAUCCAAUCAUAAUUCUGUUGUGUUUGAGGAUAUGACAGUGCUCAGGAGUCCACACACUGUUGAAUGUUGU